GCGAGGGUAGCUCAGUCGGUAGAGCAGAGGACUGAAAAUCCUCGUGUCGGCGGUUCGAUUCCGUCCCCUCGCA
rfam:Nitrospina sp. SCGC_AAA799_A02 AAA799A02_32, whole genome shotgun sequence.